rnacentral:rRNA from 1 species
CAGCCGCCGCGGUAAUACGAGGGGUGCAAGCGUUAUUCGGAUUGAUUGGGUGUAAAGGGUGUGCAGACGGCUUAUUAAGUCAUUUGUUAAAUUCUUCGGCCUAACUGAAGGUCUGCAAGUGAUACUGAUGAGCUAGAGGGUGGAAGAGAGAAGUGGAAUUCUCGGAGUAGCGGUAAAAUGCGUAGAUCCCGAGAGGAACACCAAUGGCGAAGGCAGCUUCUUGGUCCAUUCCUGACGUUCAUACACGAAAGCGUGGGGAGCAAGCAGGAUUAGAUACCCCGGUAGUCCCUGUCUCUUAUAC